ACCGAUAGUGAACCAGUACCGUGAGGGAAAGGCGAAAAGAACCCCGGCGAGGGGAGUGAAAAAGAACCUGAAACCGUGUACGUACAAGCAGUAGGAGCCUCUUUAUGGGGUGACUGCGUACCUUUUGUAUAAUGGGUCAGCGACUUAUAUUCUGUAGCAAGGUUAACCGUAUAGGGGAGCCGUAGGGAAACCGAGUCUUAACU
rnacentral:rRNA from 1 species